GACGUAGGGCGCGAGCGUUGUCCGGAUUUAUUGGGCGUAAAGAGCUCGUAGGCGGCUUGUCGCGUCGAAUGUGAAAACCUGCAGCUCAACUGCAGGCUUGCAUUCGAUACGGGCCGGCUAGAGUGUGGUAGGGGAGAUCGGAAUUCCUGGUGUAGCGGUGAAAUGCGCAGAUAUCAGGAGGAACACCGGUGGCGAAGGCGGAUCUCUGGGCCAUUACUGACGCUGAGGAGCGAAAGCGUGGGGAGCGAACAGG
rnacentral:rRNA from 1 species